rfam:Myotis lucifugus cont2.6541, whole genome shotgun sequence.
GGCAGUUCUCGGGUGAUGCAUCCCAAAAUCAGGCUCCCUCCUCUCUGGUUCCGGGUGCGUCACCCAAGAACUGCA